AUUGGAUAAAAGAAUUCUUACGUCGACUGUUCUAUUUUCCAUUUUCAUUUUGAAAGUCAAUUAGGUAAAUGGAAAGAUCAAUAGAAGCUAAAAUUAAGCUAGUAAAAUAAACCAUUGAAAUAAAAUAACCGUCACUUGCUUUAACAACCCCUGCAAUGAAAUUUAUCUACUAAACUUACCCUAUGUCGCCCAAACCCUAAAUUGAAAAAAACAAUUAGAACUAGGUAUAUGAAUUUUGCUGCCAAAAUAUUAAAUUAUAUAAUUUAUCAAACCGACCGUGAAAAAAUAAAUUUUAGUGCGCCCAUGACAUGCCAAGCUCAAACAGCAAUGCUCAAUGACAUCUGAAUUUGACAAGUCAGUUAAAUUCAGAUGUCAAUGUCAACCCAAUAAAACAAUAAUAUAAUUCACCUUGAGAAAUUAUUAUUAUUUUUUAACUAAUAUUUAUUGGAAAACUUCAACACAAAUUAUUUGCUAAAUAAAACUGAUGAAAAUCUCAUAACUUCAUUCAAGUUCGCAUAUAUUUUGCCUGUGUGGUCUUUGUUUUGUGUACCUAGAAUUAUUACAAGGAGAAGAAUUGCAUGUUUUAACUGCUGAUUAGACUACACAACCAGAAAUAAAUAAGCUAAAUGAAGUAUGUUAGGAUACCCCAGAGAUCAUGAAAUGUGUUUGAUAGGGCUCAGACCAUGCACUUAAGGACAUCCGUCAAGAAAUCAUUGAGAUUCUACCAUAUUAAUGAAAUUGGGAAACCAGGAAGAACUGCCUGUCUUUACUGUUGGUUAGAGAACGCAGCCAGAAAUAAAUAAGCUACAGGAAGUAUGUUAGGAUUCCCCAGAGAUCAUGAAAUGUGUUUGAAGGGAUAUGAAUCAGCUUUUUUGUUAUCUUGAAUAGGCAAAAUGGCACGAGAAUCUUCCAACUGGACCCAAAGUCUCUAUUUUUGGUUAGAAAAUAAAACUUAUUUAAUGUUUAUGUUCCAUGACCUGUUUAUUGUUUUAUUAAAUUUUGUCAUACAGUUAUUUAGUUUUAA
rnacentral:lncRNA from 1 species